rnacentral:rRNA from 1 species
GCUGCAACUCGCCUGCAUGAAGUUGGAAUUGCUAGUAAUCGCGAAUCAGAAUGUCGCGGUGAAUACGUUCCCGGGCCGUUGUACACACCGCCCGUCACACCAUGAGAGUCGAUAACACCCGAAGCCUGUGAGCUAACCUUUUAGGAGGCAGCAGCCGAAGGUGGGGUUGAUGAUUGGGGUGAAGUCGUAACAAGGUACC